rnacentral:rRNA from 1 species
AACGGGGAUAUUCAACGCGUCCGGUCUGGCGGACGAGCCGGGUCGGCUCUCGACGGGCGUCCGUUCGCGGGCGCUCGCGGACGUCCCGGCCGUCCUGUCACCGGCGCGUGCACUUAUCCCCUUGUAGGACGUCGCGAUCCGUCGGGCGUCGGUCUACGGUCGGCGGUGGAGCCCGCGCGCGCCUCGGCGCGCGCGAACCCGUCGAUUCUCCGGCCGACUCGNUCGACGGUAUCACUCGAGGCGCGGAGCCGCGACUAGUUCGCAUCCGACUGUCCGCAAGCGCGGCCGGUCUCCCGGCUGUCGGAUCUGAUGCCGGCACCGGGACCGGACGGCUGCUGGCGGGCACGUUCUCGGAUAGACUCCGAUCCACGCCUAUCGGCGACGCUAUAGCUUUGGGUAAUCUCAGGACCCGUCUUGAAACACGGACCAAGGAGUCUAGCAUGUGCGCGAGUCAUUGGGACUUUAAACCUACUGGCGAAAUGAAAGUGAAGGCCGCCUUGCGCGCGCCUAGGGAGGAUGGGUCGCACCGCGGUGCGGCCCCGCACUCCUGGGGCGUCUCGUGCCCAUUGCGGGCUGAGGCGCACCGAGAGCGCAAAUGCUGGGACCCGAAAGAUGGUGAACUAUGCCUGGUCAGAACGAAGUCAGGGGAAACCCUGAUGGAGGUUCGUAGCGAUUCUGACGUGCAAAUCGAUCGUCGGAACUGGGUAUAGGGGCGAAAGACUAAUCGAACCAUCUAGUAGCUGGUUCCCUCCGAAGUUUCCCUCAGGAUAGCUGGCGCUCGUUGUACGAGUCUCAUUCGGUAAAGCGAAUGAUUAGAGGCAUUGGGGUCGAAACGGCCUCAACCUAUUCUCAAACUUUAAAUGGGUGAGAUCUCCGGCUUGCUUAGAUGUGAAGCCGCGAGAAUUCUU